GCCCAGAUAGUGUAGUGGUUAGCAUAGGAGGCUGUGGACCUCUUGACGGGGGUUCGAAUCCCCCUCUGGGCC
rnacentral:tRNA from 1 species